GACGAACGCUGGCGGCGUGGAUAAGACAUGCAAGUCGAACGGGAUUAUUUUUGUAGCAAUACAGAAAUAAUUCAGUGGCGAACGGGUGCGUAACACGUGGGCAAUCUGCCGAAAAGUGGGGGAUAGCUCGCCGAAAGGCGAAUUAAUACCGCAUGUGGUGAGGGACGACAUCUUCCUGAAUCCAAAGCCGGGGCAACCUGGCGCUUUUUGAGGAGCCCGCGGCCUAUCAGCUUGUUGGCGGGGUAACGGCCCACCAAGGCUAUGACGGGUAGCUGGUCUGAGAGGACGACCAGUCACACUGGAACUGAGACACGGUCCAGACACCUACGGGUGGCAGCAGUCGAGAAUUUUUCUCAAUGGGGGCAACCCUGAAGGAGCGACGCCGCGUGGAGGAUGAAGGCUUUCGGGUUGUAAACUCCUGUCAUUUGAGAACAAGGCGCCGAUAUUAACUGUAUCGGCGUUGAUAGUAUCAGAAGAGGAAGGGAC
rnacentral:rRNA from 1 species